GUGAACCUGCGGAGGGAUCAU
rnacentral:rRNA from 1 species